GUUCGAUUUUGUAAAUUUUUCCAUAGCCUCCGAAAAGUUUCUUUGAAUACCCUCACAAGUCGUCACUAAUCGAUCCAUUUGUUUUUGUUUUCCAGAUCUGGCAGAUAUUGCUGCGCUAGAUAUUGAUGGGGGAAGUGUUGCCCCUCUUGCUCCUGAUGACAGUGGUGAUGAACACUACGGUGAUGGCGACGGCGUGGAAGCGGCGAGAUAUUUGUCGGGGAUGAUGACAUCGAAUCUGAAAAUGAGUAUUUUGAAUUUAUCUCUUCCACGUUAUUGAUGGAAACCACCAAUUAUUUGAUGCACCUCCUCAAAUAAAUGCCAAGAAAUUCGAUGGAUUCGUCUGAUGAGGAGCUGGCGCUUAUUUACCUUGCAGUAAACAAUAAAAAAAAAAAACGUGAAAAGAAGGAACUGGAUCCAUGAAAUUUAUUUCAAUCGGAAAGAACAUGGCGAAUUCUCUACUUUGAUGUCUCAGCUUCGCCAAGACAAUAUUCGUUUUUAUAAAUAUUUCCGAAUGACUAUUGAGUGCUUUGAUGAAGUACUGAGUAUUAUUAAAAAUGAGAUUCAAAAAGCAGACACACAAUUUCGAGAGUGCAUUGGACCCGAAGAACAACUUGCAUUGCCUUAAGAUAUUUCGCAACUGGCGAUUCAUUUAUCACAAUUUGGUAAUAGCUUUCGUGUAGGAUUUAGAACAGUCAGCUUGAUUGUUAACGAAGUAUUUGAGGCGAUGUAAAAAAAAAUUGAAAGAUUUUAUUUGCCGGAACCAACAAUGGAAAUUUUGGGAAAAAUCAGCUCAAGGAUUUCAAGAUUUGUGGCAAUCUCCAAAUUGCAUAGGUAGCAUCGACGUUUUCUGUCGUGCUUAUGGCUAUCGUUGGCCAAAGCACUUCACCACCAAUUUAGUCGCCGCUGGAAAGAAGAUUACCUCAAAGAUCUUCAGAAGAGAUACAAGUGGAAAACCCCAAAACGCGAUCCUCAGCCAGGCGACCUCGUCGUGAUCAAAGAAGAUUCGCUCCCCCCCACCGAAUGGCGAUUGGGACGAAUCGAAAACGUUCGCCAGGGCCCUGAUAACCACAUACGUGUCGUAGAAAUCCGUACGCAAAAUGGAGGUAUCACGCGACCACUUGUCAAACCGUGCUUCCUUCCAAAAGCACAAUAAAUAAUUCUAUACAUCUUUUCCUUUUGUAUAUUAAGGGUCUUAACUUCCCGCUUAAAUAUUAUACCCAAGUACUCCUCGUUUCUCUGCCUGUGCUUCUACUUCCAGAUUGAAGACAUCAUGGCAUCGCGGAAGGCAUGCCCCCUGGCUCCAACGGCAGAGACGGAUAACUGCCUACAAUGCCGGCUCUGCCACCGGUACCACGCCUUGAGGACGUGCCCGGCCUUCAAAGCAAUGAA